rnacentral:rRNA from 1 species
AACGAACGCUGGCGGCAGGCCUAACACAUGCAAGUCGAGCGCGCCCUUCGGGGUGAGCGGCGGACGGGUGAGUAACGCGUGGGAACGUGCCCUUCUCUGCGGAAUAGCCUCGGGAAACUGAGAGUAAUACCGCAUACGCCCUUUGGGGGAAAGAUUUAUCGGAGAAGGAUCGGCCCGCGUUGGAUUAGGUAGUUGGUGGGGUAAUGGCCCACCAAGCCGACGAUCCAUAGCUGGUUUGAGAGGAUGAUCAGCCACACUGGGACUGAGACACGGCCCAGACUCCUACGGGAAGCAGCAGUGGGGAAUCUUAGACAAGGGGGGCAACCCUGAUCUAGCCAUGCCGCGUGAGUGAUGAAGGCCUUAGGGUUGUAAAGCUCUUUCAGCUGGGAAGAUAAUGACGGUACCAGCAGAAGAAGCCCCGGCUAACUCCGUG